GGGGAAUUUUGGACAAUGGGCGCAAGCCUGAUCCAGCAAUGCCGCGUGCAGGAUGAAGGCCUUCGGGUUGUAAACUGCUUUUGUACGGAACGAAAAGCCUCUCUCUAAUACAGGGGGGGGUUGCCGUUCCCGAAGGAAUAACCACCGGCAACUAACUGCCCAGCAGCCGCGGUAAUACGUAGGGUGCAAGCGUUAAUCGGAAUUACUGGGCGUAAAGCGUGCGCAGGCGGUUUUGUAAGACAGUGGUGAAAUCCCCGGGCUCAACCUGGGAACUGCCAUUGUGACUGCAAGGCUGGAGUGCGGCAGAGGGGGAUGGAAUUCCGCGUGUAGCAGUGAAAUGCGUAGAUAUGCGGAGGAACACCGAUGGCGAAGGCAAUCCCCUGGGCCUGCACUGACGCUCAUGCACGAAAGCGUGGGGAGCAAACA
rnacentral:rRNA from 1 species